GCACUCUUUUUGCAAAUUCAUUUAUUAAGUCAUCGAAAUUUAUAUUUUUAGCAACUUCAUUUUCAAUAUAUAAUUGAAAGUAACAUGUAUUCUUGGCAAAUGCAAGAUAAGUAAUUUUUGCUAAUUUUUAAUUUUGAGAAGGUUGAUUUUUCAGCUGAUGCAAUCAUUAGGGACCUGUUGGUUCUUUAUACAUUGUGACAAUAUGGGCUAAAUUUCUGAUUUCUGAUAUAUUACUGCACAAUAAAAGUUAAAAAAAUACAAGUUUUGGUAUAUAUAGACAAAGACUGGAGUAGCACUUCUCUGCAAUUAAUUCUUCAUGAAUGUUAGUUUUGUACAAAACUGAAUUCAAUUUUACAUAUAAAUUUAUACAAUGGCAUUUUAAUGUUUCCUCUGACAUUUCCUACAUCUUGUACAAGAAACCAAAAAUGGCUUCAUGAUUUGCAUAUAAUUGGAAACACCUGUUUAUGCAGUAUAUUGCUGUAUUUUCAAAUGCAAAAAAAACCCUAUUUUUAAAGUUGACUUCUUUGUUAAUACUUGAUUCAUCCAAAAUUUUAAAUGAAAAUAAUGUUCUCUCCCAUCAAAUGAAAUUCCUAUUUCUAAGCCUGUGGAUAUUUGCUUUGCAAUGUUGCAGCAGUUCUUAACACCAGAGAAUCUACACUCCAAAGAAUUCUAGUAACUGCCUAGUGUGCCUUAACACAAUGUCCACAAGUAUGCUUUUAUUUUCUAAUACUUUACUGACCAUGAUGACUGCCUGAAAGCUGGAGGUUACUGUCCCAGUACUCAGCCCAGAAAAUUAGUAUUUCCUAAGAAUGGCAGAGGGACAGACUUAGGGGAGAGACAAACCAGCCUCACGCUGUGGGUCCUCUCUGGGUUGCAAAUGUUCAUGAGUUUGCUGCUGCUGCAACCAAUGCAGACAAAGGUCAUGGCCUUGGCCACCCACACACAAUUCCAGAACACUCCCAGGCCAUACUACACAGACCAACAGCUUAGUAGGGCACUGCCUCUCAAGUAUCCUGUCUACUUGCACACAUAGUCCAGUGUCCAUCAGACUUCACAUACAAAUCACGAGUUCAAAGAUAAAACUGUGAAGAACUUCAAGAUGGCAACAGCAGGGCAUUAAGUGAAGUACAGGAUCCCUUCUUACAAGAGUGUAGCAACGUGUGACUGCACAGGUCACCUAGCCAUGAAGUUGGCCGAGAUACAGGGAAUUACACUGACUGCUUUUCAAAUGUUGAAAAAGCCUGCCAGGGAUUAACCACACUUGGUCAUGAGGUAUUAAUAACCUUGUUAUAUACCACUGGUUUCUAAUCACUAGUGUUUUUGAAUUUAUGUUCAUGAAGGACACUGGUCUACAGCUUUCUUUCCUUGCAAUGUCUCUGUCUGGUUUUGUUAUUAGGGCAAUGCUGGACUCAAAGAAUGAUUUAGGAAGUAUUCCCUCUUCUUGAAUUUUCUGGAAAAGUCUUUAUAAAUUGGUACUAUUAAUUGUUUGCUGGAAUUCACUACUGAAGCAUCUAGGGACCUGGGGUUUUCUUUGUGGAAAGGUUAUCUAUUUGUUUUGGAGCAAGCCGUAAUAGCUGUUUAUUUGAAUGAAACUGUUCAUUUCAUCAAAAUCGUCAAACUGAUAAUUUACAGGUAUAGUAUUCCCUCACUUCCUUCAUAAUAUCUAUAGAAUCUUCAGUGAUACAUCAUUCUUAUUUUUGAUAUUGAUAAUCUGUUCCACCUAGAAGUUUAUCCAUUUUAUCGAUCUUCUCAAUGAAACAGCUUUUGGUUUCACCGAUUUUCUCAACUGUUUUUCUGGUUCUACAGAUUAUAUUGUUCUCCAUUUUGUUUUUUAUUAUUUCCUUUCUUCUACUAUUAUAUGGAUUUGUCUUCUUUUCUACAUUCUCAAAGUGGAAUUAGCUAAGACCAUUGAUUUAGACCUUUCUUCUUAUCCAACACAAGUUAAACUUCAUACAUGUGUAUAUUACAUAUAUACAUAUGUAUAAAUGCAUACACAUGAAAUUCCCUCUAUGUGAAAUUUACACAUUAUAUAUUUAAUAUAUAUUACACAUAAUACAUUAUAUCCCAUAUAUGACAAACGUCAUAUAUGCAUUUACAUAUUGUGGAAACUUCAUAUAUGCAUUUACAUAUGGUGGAUAUAUAUGCACACAAUACAAACACACACAAUGCUUAUUUGUGUCGCAUAAGAAAGAUCUCAAAUCAAUGACCUCAGGUGCUUCUACCUUAAAAAGCUACAAAAAAGCAAAUUAAACCCAAAAGUAAGUAGCAAAAAGGACUAAGGAUCAAAAUGGAAAACAAUGAAAUCAAUGAGUAUUGUAUGUAUUUUAUAUUUCCUAUGAAUUUCCUAUAUGUAAAUUUCCCAUAAAUUCCAUUUUCAUUAACCCAAAGUUCAAAACACUUUCUAAUUUCCUCUUCGAAUUCUUCUUUGAAGCAUCCAUUACAUAGACUUAUAUUCAGUUUCCAACUAUUAGGGAUUUAAUAGAUACUUCUGUUAUUGAUGUUUAAUUUAACUAAAUUUAAACCCCUUAUGGUGGGAGAAAAUACUCUAUAUGACUUCAAUCCUUUUAUAUUUAUUAAGAUUUGCUUUACAAUCAGGAUGUGAUUUACCUUUGUUAAUAUAUUCGUUCAUCUGCCCUUGAAAAGAAUGUAUAUUCCACUGUUUUAUUUGGGGAGGAGUGUGCAGAAGAAUAUUUUAUAAAUGUCAAUUAAGUUAUUUAGGGUUAAGUCUAUUAUAUCUUUGCUCCUUUUCCAUUUCCUGUUUUAUUAAUUAUUAAAAGGAUGCUAAAGCCUCUGAUUAUAACUGUGGAUCUAUUUCUCCUUCCAGAUCUAUCAGAUUUUGCUUCAAAUAUUUUGCAAAUCUGUUACUAAGUUUAGGAUUGUUAAAUCCUCUUGAUGAAAUGAUCUCUAUCAAUAUGAAAAAAAAUCUUUAUCACUGGUAUUCCUGGCUCUGAAAGCUACUUCAUCUGGCUGUCACAGCACUGCAGCCUUGUGAAUAAUUUUACCAUUCUACAUCUUUUCCCAUUCUUUUUGUUUAUCUAUUUGUCUUUGAAUCUAACAUGUUUCCUUUAUAGGCAGCAUGAUUGGAUCUUAUUUUUAUUUAUCUUAUCCAGAAAUCUCUGCCUUUAAAUGGGGUGUUAUAUACCAUUUAUAUUUUCUGUGAUCAUCAAUGUUUAUAAAAGCUUUAAUCAGUGUACUUUUCAGUAACAGUAUAUAUAUGAAUCUUCCAAUAGUAUAUACUUUACUUCUUUUUCAUAGCCUUUUCAGGCUGUGAUUGUCAUGUAUUUUCAAUAUAUGUUAUAAACCCCACAAUACAUUUGAUGUUAUUUUUGUAUAAAGUCAAUAUCCUUUUUAGAGACUUACAUAAAGAAAAAUAUCUUGUAUACAUAUCCAAGUAGUCAACAUUUCCUGUUCUUCAUCCCCCUGAGUAGAUCCAGAUUUCCAUCAGACAUCAGAACAUGUCUUGUGAUGCAGGUCUGCUGGAGAGGAAAUCUUUCAGCUUUGUUUAACUGGAAUGUCCUUAUUUCUUCACUGUUUCUUAUAGCUAUUUUUACCAAGUAUAUAACUCUACAUUGAGAUUUUUGCUUUUAAAACCAAAAAUAAUGUUCUACUAUUUUCUCUGUUGCCUCAUUUAAGGAGAAAUCUGUUAUCAUCCUUGCCUUUGUUCCUCCAUAAAACAUGUCCUUUAUCUCUGGCUGCUUUGAGGACUUCAUUUUAACACUGAUUUAGAGCAUUCUGGUUAUGAUUCAUGUGGCUUGGUGUAGUUUUCUUCAUGCCUCUUGUGCUCAGGGUUUGACGAGCUUCUUAGAUCGGUAGGUUCCCAACACAUUUGGAAAUUUUUUCAUUAUUCUCAAAAUACUGUUUUCUGUUCUUUUCCCACUUUCCUUUUAGAGACUCCAAUUCCAUGUGUGUUAAGAGACUACCUGAAGUCCUGAAGUUCUCCUAAAGCUCACAUGGGCUUGUUUUUUUUUUUUUUUUUUUUUUUUUGAGACACAGUCUCACUGUCACCAGGCUGGAGUGCAGUGGUGCAAUCUCAGCCUCACUGCAACUUCUGCCUCCCAUGUUCAGGUGAUUCUCCUGCCUCAGCCUCCUGAGUAGCUGGGACUACAGGUGCCUGCCACCACACCCGGCUAAUUUUUGUAUUUUUAGUAGAGACAGGGUUUUGCCACGUUCGCCAAGAUAGUCUGGAUCCCUUGAUCUCGUGAUCCACCCACCUUGGCUUCUCAAAGUGCUGGGAUUACAGGCAUGAGCCACUGCAACUGGCCCAAGGGCUUGCUUAUUUUUCAAAUAUGCUUUUUCUCUGUUUCAUUUGUAUGGCUUCUAUUACUGUGUUUUUAAGUUCAAUAAUCUUAUUCUUCUGCAAUCUUUGAACUGCCAUUAAUUCUUGCUCUAUGUGAUAUUCUUUUUUUUUUUUUUUUUUUUUUGGGGGGAGACAGGGUCUCACUCCAUCACCCAGGCUGCAGUGCAGAGGUGCAAUCUUGGCUCACUGAAACACCCACCUCCCAAGGCUCAAGUGAUCCUCCCACCUCAGCCUCCCAAGUAGCUAGGACAACAGGCAUGCACCACCACACCCAGCUAAUUUUUUUGUUGUUUCAUUUUUGGUACAGAUGAGGUUUCAUCAUGUUGCCCAGGCUGGUCUCGAACUCCUGAGCUCAGGAGAUCCACCUGCCUUGGCCUCCCAAAGUGCUGGCAUUACAGGUGUGAGACACCAAUGACUGGCCAUGUAUUUUUCAUCUCAAGCAUUAUAGUUUUCAUUUCUGGAAAUCUGAUUUCUAUCUUUUCUGUUACACUGAAUUUUGAUUUGUUUUUUUUUUUUUAAUCUUCUGUGUCUCUACUUAAGUUUUAGAACAUAUGGAACCAAAUUAUAGCACUGUUUUCAAUGAACCUGUCAGUUAAUUCUAAUAUCUAUGGCAAUUCUGAGUCCAUUUCAAUUUCCUGGUUAGUCUCUUUGAGAAAGCUCAUGUUUUCCCAUAUGUCUGUAAGUCUGGAAAUAUUUCAAUGGAUGGAAGACUGAGAGUUUUACUUGGUUGGAUGCUGGGUACUUUUGGCUUCCUAUAAGUAUUUUUGUGCUUUGUUCUAGGAUGCACUUAAGUCACUUGGAAACAAUGUGACACUUUCAGGUCUUGCUUUUAUGAUUUCUUAGGCAAAUCUGGAGCAGUGCUCAGUUUGGGGCACAUUACUCCUCACCACGGAGAAAAGACCUUUCUGAACACUCUACCCAAUACUCUGAAUUAUGAGUUUUUCCACGCUGGCUGGCAGGAUCAGUCCUUCUCCAGGCCCUAUGUGAGUACUGUGUACUGUUCCCUCUGAUUCUUUUCAAAAGUUAUUUCACUCAUUUCCUCAUAUACAUGAGCUGAUUAGUACUUUGCUGAACAUUCAUGGAGGCCCCUUUACAGAUCUCCAGGCCUCUCUCUGUGUGCAUCUAUCUCCUGCAAGCCACCAGUGCUCCUCAACCCCCACAGCUUCAAAUUCUAGGAAAGAACUGCCAAAAGGCCUUGAGCCAGCUUCCUCCACCACCCCAAUUAAAAUAUCCAGCCCAGUCAUGGCAGUCUGAGAAUAGUGGAGUACAAUGCCUACCUAGGUCAUUGAGAAGAGAUUCCAAAAGAAACCAAGAAGACCAGAGACUACUGCCCCAAUCCAGAUCCCUGAUCAUAAAGCACAGUAUCACCCACCCAGAGAAAAGCAAAACACUGCUGUAGCCUCCAGAUCCCGAAUAAUGGAGCAGGACUCUCACCUAGGGCCAGCUGUAAGGACAGAGAGUUCCAAAACUCUCCUCCAGAAAACUCACUUUGUUCAGAACAGAGUUUGGGUGAGUGCAAGCCUAAGAUCACCCUCAAAAAGAAUGGAAAUUCAAUGAUAACCAAUUAAGAAGAGGGUAGCAGUUCUAUGACAGCAACAAGCUAAACCACAGACCAACUGAAAGUUUACUGGAGAGAGCAAGGGAAAGAGAUGCCUAAGAAGAGACAUCCAGGGCAAUUAGAUGUCUUCCUAUCUACCAGAAACACUCAUACAAAUACAUACACAGAUUUUCCACAGUCAUGAUUUUUAAAUUUAUGUUUUCUAGGAGGUGACUUUCAGAAUGGCAACAUAAAAAGCAAACUCAAAGCCUCAAAGACAGCCCUCUAGAAGGAACCCAAAUUUAACAAGAGCAAACUAAGAGCAACAUAUGGUCCAGGACAGUGUUGAAAACAAUAGAGCAAUAUGUCAGCAAUCAGUAGCGGCUAUCAGCAAAGUGUAACAGCAACAGAGGCAGACAGGCUAACACAGCAAUCACAGAAAGAUUCACUCAAAGAGAGCACUGUUAACACCACUGCCAUGCUAAAGAUAGUGUGCAUUUCUAAGGCAGGGCCCUCUGACAAGCAUCAUCAGUGAGAACCCAAUGGGAGUGAAAAAGCUUCUCUCAAAUAGUAGUCAAGUUGCCUAAAUAAAUAAGAAACAACAACAAGCCCUAGAGAGAAUAGAGGAAUCAGUAUCUAGAGAAAGUACAAAGUAUUCUCUACAAUGUCUAUUCUUCAACAAAAAAAUUACAACACAUACAAAGAAACAGGAGACUGUCAUCUAUAUACAGGAAAAAUGGCAGGCAACAGCAACUGCCCUUGAGAAGAUCCAGAUAUCAGACUUAGCUGACCUCAAAGCACUUAUUUUAAAUAUGUUCAGGCCAGGUGCAGUGGCUCACGCCUGUAAUCCCAAUACUUUGGGAGGUUGAGGCAGGUGGAUCACCUGAGGUCAGGAGUUCAAGACCAACCUGGCCAACAUGGUAAAACCCUGUCUCUACUAAAAAUACAAAAAUUAGCUGGGUGUGGUGGCCAGCACUUGUAAUCCCAGCUACUCUGGAGGCUGAGGCAAGAGAAUGGCUUGAACCUGGGAGGCAGAGGUUGCAGUGAGCUGACAUCAUGCCUCUGAACUCCAGCCUGGGUGACACAGCAAGACUGUAUCAAAAUUAAAAAUAAAAAUAAAAAUAAAUAUGUUCAUAAGGAAACACUAUUUAGAAAAGGGAGGUAUGAUGAUGUCUCAUCAAACAGAAAAAUAUUAGUAAGAAGACAGAAAAGAAUACAAUGAAAAUUCUGGAUUCAAAAAUUAUAACUGCAAUGGAAAACUCACUAGAAUGACUCAACAAAAGACUUGGCCAGGUGGGGUGGCUCACGCCUGUAAUCCCAGCACUCUGGGAGGCCAAGGCAAGCAAAUCACCUGACGUCUAGGAGUUCGAGACCAGCCUGACCAACAUGGUGAAACCCCGGGGUCUCUACUAAAAAUACAAAAAAGUUAGCUGAGUGUGGUAGUGCACAUACCUAUAAUCCCAGCUACUCUGGAGGCUGAGGCAGGAGAAUCGCUUGACCCCAUGAGGCAGAGGUUGCAGCGAGAUGAGAUAGUGCCACUGCACUCCAGCUUGGGCAACAAG
rnacentral:lncRNA from 1 species